GGGUUGUGAGGUUAAGCGACUAAGCGUACACGGUGGAUGCCCUGGCAGUCAGAGGCGAUGAAGGACGUGCUAAUCUGCGAUAAGCGCCGGUAAGGUGAUAUGAACCGUUAUAACCGGCGAUUUCCGAAUGGGGAAACCCAGUGUGACUCGUCACACUAUCAUUAACUGAAUCCAUAGGUUAAUGAGGCGAACCGGGGGAACUGAAACAUCUAAGUACCCCGAGGAAAAGAAAUCAACCGAGAUUCCCCCAGUAGCGGCGAGCGAACGGGGAGGAGCCCAGAGCCUGAAUCAGCAUGUGUGUUAGUGGAAGCGUCUGGAAAGGCGCGCGAUACAGGGUGACAGCCCCGUACACAAAAGCGCAUGUGCUGUGAGCUCGAUGAGUAGGGCGGGACACGUGGUAUCCUGUCUGAAUAUGGGGGGACCAUCCUCCAAGGCUAAAUACUCCUGACUGACCGAUAGUGAACCAGUACCGUGAGGGAAAGGCGAAAAGAACCCCGGCGAGGGGAGUGAAAAAGAACCUGAAACCGUGUACGUACAAGCAGUGGGAGCACAGGUUUACCUGUGUGACUGCGUACCUUUUGUAUAAUGGGUCAGCGACUUAUAUUCUGUAGCAAGGUUAACCGCAUAGGGGAGCCGCAGGGAAACCGAGUCUUAACCGGGCGUUAAGUUGCAGGGUAUAGACCCGAAACCCGGUGAUCUAGCCAUGGGCAGGUUGAAGGUUGGGUAACACUAACUGGAGGACCGAACCGACUAAUGUUGAAAAAUUAGCGGAUGACCUGUGGCUGGGGGUGAAAGGCCAAUCAAACCGGGAGAUAGCUGGUUCUCCCCGAAAGCUAUUUAGGUAGCGCCUCGUGAAUUCAUCUCCGGGGGUAGAGCACUGUUUCGGCUAGGGGGUCAUCCCGACUUACCAACCCGAUGCAAACUGCGAAUACCGGAGAAUGUUAUCACGGGAGACACACGGCGGGUGCUAACGUCCGUCGUGAAGAGGGAAACAACCCAGACCGCCAGCUAAGGUCCCAAAGUCAUGGUUAAGUGGGAAACGAUGUGGGAAGGCCCAGACAGCCAGGAUGUUGGCUUAGAAGCAGCCAUCAUUUAAAGAAAGCGUAAUAGCUCACUGGUCGAGUCGGCCUGCGCGGAAGAUGUAACGGGGCUAAACCAUGCACCGAAGCUGCGGCAGCGAACGUAUCACCCAAGACAACUUUGCGGAGUUGACGAUUGACGGAGCGAAGCGACGUCAAAGCGUUCAUUAAAGUCGAGUUGGCUUAGGGAUACGUUCGUUGGGUAGGGGAGCGUUCUGUAAGCCUGUGAAGGUGUGCUGUGAGGCAUGCUGGAGGUAUCAGAAGUGCGAAUGCUGACAUAAGUAACGAUAAAGCGGGUGAAAAGCCCGCUCGCCGGAAGACCAAGGGUUCCUGUCCAACGUUAAUCGGGGCAGGGUGAGUCGACCCCUAAGGCGAGGCCGAAAGGCGUAGUCGAUGGGAAACGGGUUAAUAUUCCCGUACUUGGUGUUACUGCGAAGGGGGGACGGAGAAGGCUAUGUUGGCCGGGCGACGGUUGUCCCGGUUUAAGCGUGUAGGCUGGUUUUCCAGGCAAAUCCGGAAAAUCAAGGCUGAGGCGUGACGACGAGGCACUACGGUGCUGAAGCAACAAAUGCCCUGCUUCCAGGAAAAGCCUCUAAGCAUCAGGUAACAUCAAAUCGUACCCCAAACCGACACAGGUGGUCAGGUAGAGAAUACCAAGGCGCUUGAGAGAACUCGGGUGAAGGAACUAGGCAAAAUGGUGCCGUAACUUCGGGAGAAGGCACGCUGACAUGUAGGUGAAGUGAUUUACUCAUGGAGCUGAAGUCAGUCGAAGAUACCAGCUGGCUGCAACUGUUUAUUAAAAACACAGCACUGUGCAAACACGAAAGUGGACGUAUACGGUGUGACGCCUGCCCGGUGCCGGAAGGUUAAUUGAUGGGGUCAGCGCAAGCGAAGCUCCUGAUCGAAGCCCCGGUAAACGGCGGCCGUAACUAUAACGGUCCUAAGGUAGCGAAAUUCCUUGUCGGGUAAGUUCCGACCUGCACGAAUGGCGUAAUGAUGGCCAGGCUGUCUCCACCCGAGACUCAGUGAAAUUGAACUCGCUGUGAAGAUGCAGUGUACCCGCGGCAAGACGGAAAGACCCCGUGAACCUUUACUAUAGCUUGACACUGAACAUUGAGCCUUGAUGUGUAGGAUAGGUGGGAGGCUUUGAAGUGUGGACGCCAGUCUGCAUGGAGCCGACCUUGAAAUACCACCCUUUAAUGUUUGAUGUUCUAACGUGGACCCGUAAUCCGGGUUGCGGACAGUGUCUGGUGGGUAGUUUGACUGGGGCGGUCUCCUCCUAAAGAGUAACGGAGGAGCACGAAGGUUGGCUAAUCCUGGUCGGACAUCAGGAGGUUAGUGCAAUGGCAUAAGCCAGCUUGACUGCGAGCGUGACGGCGCGAGCAGGUGCGAAAGCAGGUCAUAGUGAUCCGGUGGUUCUGAAUGGAAGGGCCAUCGCUCAACGGAUAAAAGGUACUCCGGGGAUAACAGGCUGAUACCGCCCAAGAGUUCAUAUCGACGGCGGUGUUUGGCACCUCGAUGUCGGCUCAUCACAUCCUGGGGCUGAAGUAGGUCCCAAGGGUAUGGCUGUUCGCCAUUUAAAGUGGUACGCGAGCUGGGUUUAGAACGUCGUGAGACAGUUCGGUCCCUAUCUGCCGUGGGCGCUGGAGAACUGAGGGGGGCUGCUCCUAGUACGAGAGGACCGGAGUGGACGCAUCACUGGUGUUCGGGUUGUCAUGCCAAUGGCACUGCCCGGUAGCUAAAUGCGGAAGAGAUAAGUGCUGAAAGCAUCUAAGCACGAAACUUGCCCCGAGAUGAGUUCUCCCUGAGACUUUAGGUCUCCUGAAGGAACGUUGAAGACGACGACGUUGAUAGGCCGGGUGUGUAAGCGCAGCGAUGCGUUGAGCUAACCGGUACUAAUGAACCGUGAGGCUUAACCUUACAACGCCGAAG
rnacentral:rRNA from 1 species